GGGCCCAUAGUUUAAUGGUAGAACGUCGGUCUCCAAAACCGUCGGUCGAGGUUCGAUUCCUCGUGGGCCCG
rfam:Candidatus Lloydbacteria bacterium RIFCSPHIGHO2_02_FTLL_50_13 rifcsphigho2_02_scaffold_4874, whole genome shotgun sequence.